rnacentral:rRNA from 1 species
AUUGAACGCUGGCGGCAUGCCUUACACAUGCAAGUCGAACGGUAACGGGCCGCCGGGUGCUGACGAGUGGCGAACGGGUGAGUAAUACAUCGGAACGUGCCCGGUCGUGGGGGAUAACUAGGCGAAAGCGUAGCUAAUACCGCAUACGAUCUACGGAUGAAAGCGGGGGACCGCAAGGCCUCGCGCGGUUGGAGCGGCCGAUGGCAGAUUAGGUAGUUGGUGGGGUAAACGCUUACCAAGCCAACGAUCUGUAGCUGGUCUGAGAGGAUGAUCAGCCACACUGGGACUGAGACACGGCCCAGACUCCUACGGGAGGCAGCAGUGGGGAAUUUUGGACAAUGGGCGCAAGCCUGAUCCAGCCAUGCCGCGUGCAGGAUGAAGGCCUUCGGGUUGUAAACUGAUUUUGUACGGAACGAAAAGCCUUCUUUUAAUACAGGAGGGUCAUGACGGUACCGUAAGAAUAAGCACCGGCUAACUACGUG